UACGAAGGGGGGCAAGCAUUGUUCGGAAUUACUGGGCGUAAAGGGUGCGUAGGCGGAUCGAUCAGUCAGAUGUGAAAGCCCAAGGCUUAACCUUGGAAUUGCAUUUGAUACUGUCAGUCUAAAAUUGUGGAGAGGAGUAUGGAAUUCCCAGUGUAGAGGUGAAAUUCGUAGAUAUUGGGAGGAACACCAGUGGCGUAGGCGAUACUCUGGCCAACAAUUGACGCUGAGGCACGAAAGUGUGGGGAGCAAACAGG
rnacentral:rRNA from 1 species